rnacentral:hammerhead_ribozyme from 1 species
AUCCAGCUGGCGAGUCCCAAAAACAGGACGAAAUGCGCAUCCUGGAU